rnacentral:rRNA from 1 species
CCUACGGGAGGCAGCAGUGGGGGAUAUUGCACAAUGGGGGGAACCCUGAUGCAGCGACGCCGCGUGGGUGAAGGAGUGCUUCGGCAUGUAAAGCCCUAUCGGCAGGGAAGAAGCAAGACGGUACCUGACUAAGAAGCCCCGGCUAACUACGUGCCAGCAGCCGCGGUAAUACGUAGGGGGCGAGCGUUAUCCGGAUUCACUGGGUGUAAAGGGAGCGUAGACGGGCAUGCAAGCCAGGGGUGAAAGCCCGGGGCCCAACCCCGGGACUGCCCUUGGAACUGUGCGGCUAGAGUGCGGGAGGGGCAGGCGGAAUGCCUGGUGUAGCGGUGAAAUGCGGAGAUAUCAGGAGGAACACCGGCGGCGAAGGCGGCCUGCUGGACCGCGACUGACGUUGAGGCUCGAAAGCGUGGGGAGCGAACAGGAUUAGAUACCCUUGUAGUC